rnacentral:misc_RNA from 1 species
UCAAACUUGGUCAUUUAGAGGAAGUAAAAGUCGUAACAAGGUUUCCGUAGGUGAACCUGCGGAAGGAUCAUUAUUGAUUUUUAAAGGAUGUGCUGGCCCCCCCUCCCGGCGGGGCACGUGCACUCCCAAAAAAAACCAAACAUCCACCUGUGCACUUUUCAGUAGGCAAAAAAAGACUUUCAUUUCUGCAAGUCAUUCUUGUCUAUGUUUCAUUACAAACACUUGAGCUUAUUUGAAUGCCUCACAUACAAUGACUAUAAUUUGUAAUACAACUUUCAACAAUGGAUCUCUUGGUUCUCGCAUCGAUGAAGAACGCAGC